GAUUACAGGUGGGAGGCACUGCACUGGGUCUGUUUUUUGUUUGUUUGUUUGUUUGUUUGUUUGUUUAAGGCAAAAACUGCAAUCAUUUUUGCACCAACGUAACCAACCUAAUGGAUGAGUCCUUUCAUCACCAAAUGCUCUCGAAACACUCCAUUCACUUAAGCAUCUCCACAGUUUACCCAGCACUGUGUAAGGAAUCUGGCACGGCUUUUGUAGCAUCUGCCAAACCAUCUCCAGCCCUGACAGUUUGGUGUUCUCAGUUAUGCAGAAAGGUAACAAAGCGUACGCUCAAUUUCGUCCAUGUGCAGAGUUGGAGAGUGGGAGAAGAAUGGUGAGUGAUGAAAAUGAACUAAAUGCUGCCGUCAUUAUCUGCACAGUCCUGCCUCCCAAAUGGCUUCAUGAAUGAUCCUUCUCUCAGAGAGGAUCCCUCUGGCAAUACUUUCAGAUUUUGGGUUCAAGAAGUAAAACAGACUGUAACAUGCAUGUCCAGGACAGAGAAUUCACUGGUCAUGAAACCACCCUGGAAGAGGACGUAUUUGCUGCUUACGCAGAGUAGAAAACUCCCAUUGAUGAGUUCCAUCAAAGUUCCUUUUGCAAUAAUUUAGAUAAAUGCUAAGAAAAGCUUUGUAAAUACUGGCAAGGUUCUUUUCUCGUCCUUUAUAAGUGCUACUUACAUGACUAUGUCUCCUUUUUAUCAUCUGGCUGUCAAGAAAUUCAGAGCUAAAGAUCUUAAAAGUCAGCUCCAGCAACUAAAUGGUCUCACAGCCUCUGCACGUCGUGUUCUCUUCCGCCCACUCCCAUACCCCAACCCAACCUUGGUUUUCUUAUCAUCUUGCUUUUCCAGAUCUUAUUUAUCCAUUAUCAUCAUUGUAUCAUAUACCCUAAAAUAAACAGGCUUGUAAAAAAUGUAUACGCAUAAUUUGGUUAGGUUUUGAGAGAGCAAGAAAAGCACAAUUGUGAGGCAGCUUAGAGUUCUAGUCACGGGCAUGGCUGGCAAAGGCCCAACCAUCUACAUGCAAAUCUGAACUCUGCCACUUCCUACCCAUGGGACUCCACCUGUAAAGUGUACCUAACUUGAUGGGUUAUCACGAGGAUUAACUGAGUCAAUACAUGACUAGAACUUUGCACAGAUCUGGCAUCUAGUAAGUGUUCAAAAUGCUAGCAGCUAAGACUCUACGCAAGUUCUAUGUUACUACCAAUUAGGAAGAAAAGAGGUGUGUGAAGGCUGGGGGUGGGUGAAACAUACAAAUGAAAAGGCUUGAAAAACCCAUAGAAAAAGUCACGGCUAGGUUCAGAGGAACACUGAUGUUUCUAGAGCAGGAGUCAACAAACCUUUUAAAUACAACACCAGGCCGGGUGUGGUGGCUCACGCCUGUAACCCUAGUACUUGGGAGGCUGAGGCAGGUGGAUCACUUGAGGUCAG